CCUUCAAUUUAAGAUCGGAGUUAUUGACCUUUAUCUAGGUAGUGAAUAGAAUUUUCUAUCAAAAAUUCAACCUAUUCGGAUUUUUUUGCACUGCUAAACUAGCAAGUAUUCCAUACCGGCCGCUAAAAAUUAUCAAUUUUGUGAGCUUUUAAUAGUAAGGUAAAUGAUGUCGAAAAAUUAUGAAAUUUGAUUUUUAGAUGUUUCAAAUGCUCUAGAUAACGUUUAACGGUGUGGAUCGUCGAUUCGGAAGCUCUAUCAUCGAAAACAACUUAUGAGUACGAGGACGAUCGUACUCAUAAUAGUAUAGUAGCCGAACUCUAUAUAUAUAUAUAUAUAUUGAUGGACAUUUGUUUAACAUUUCUCUUUUAAUUUAAGUCAUUUUUAUGGGGAUUGAUUAUUUGUGGAUAUAUAUAUUUUUUUUUAGAAAUAUGUAGCAUCCUAUUCGUUUCGUUUAUUUCAUUUAAAAAUAAACUUAGCUAAAAAUAUGAAUCAACUAAAAUUCAAACUUGAAACCUCAUAUACCAACCGUCAAACUUCUUUGCCACUUGUAUUAGAAACGGUCGGUUAUUU
rnacentral:lncRNA from 1 species